rnacentral:rRNA from 1 species
AUUGAACGCUGGCGGCAGGCCUAACACAUGCAAGUCGAACGGUAACAGGAAGCAGCUUGCUGCUUCGCUGACGAGUGGCGGACGGGUGAGUAAUGUCUGGGAAACUGCCUGAUGGAGGGGGAUAACUACUGGAAACGGUAGCUAAUACCGCAUAACGUCGCAAGACCAAAGAGGGGGACCUUAGGGCCUCUUGCCAUCGGAUGUGCCCAGAUGGGAUUAGCUAGUAGGUGGGGUAACGGCUCACCUAGGCGACGAUCCCUAGCUGGUCUGAGAGGAUGACCAGCCACACUGGAACUGAGACACGGUCCAGACUCCUACAGGAGGCAGCAGUGGGGAAUAUUGCACAAUGGGCGCAAGCCUGAUGCAGCCAUGCCGCGUGUAUGAAGAAGGCCUUCGGGUUGUAAAGUACUUUCAGCGGGGAGGAAGGGAGUAAAGUUAAUACCUUUGCUCAUUGACGUUACCCGCAGAAGAAGCACCGGCUAACUCCGUG